rnacentral:rRNA from 1 species
CAGCAGUAGCCGCGGUAAUACGUAGGUGGCAAGCGUUGUCCGGAAUUAUUGGGCGUAAAGGGCUCGCAGGCGGUUUCUUAAGUCUGAUGUGAGAGCCCCCGGCUCAACCGGGGAGGGUCAUUGGAAACUGGGAAACUUGAGUGCAGAAGAGGAGAGUGGAAUUCCACGUGUAGCGGUGAAAUGCGUAGAGAUGUGGAGGAACACCAGUGGCGAAGGCGACUCUCUGGUCUGUAACUGACGCUGAGGAGCGAAAGCGUGGGGAGCGAACAGGAUUAGAGACCCCGGUAGUCCCUGUCUCUUAUAC